rnacentral:rRNA from 1 species
AUGCUGACUACCUUUGAUGCGCUUGUCGAUGUCCUACAUAACAUAAGGGAAUUGCCUUUCAGCAGAAUCGAGUUCAUUCCUGAUGAGGUCGCUGAUAUACCGGAUUUGCCCUGCAGCAGAUACGAGUCCAUACAUAAUGUGGUUGCUCAUAUUUUUUGUAAGAUGGUGGUUGAUUUGAAAGGAAUACUUGAGGGGACUACCAAUGGCAGGCACAUCAGCAGAGAAUGUGCUAUACAUCCAGCAACUGCUCUUCUUGUACGAUACCUGGAAUUUUUCUUUCGCAACGGAGAGAUGAUGCAGUCAGUUCUUGGCACCAGGGAUUGCACUAUUGAGCUUAUCAUGAUUGGUUCUUGGGUCUCCAAGCUCAGUGAAGAUGCAGAGGUAAUGUUCCCAGGGAAGGGACAAAGGUGCAUAUACAUGUUGAAUAACAUGGAUUAUGUUUAUCAACUGAAGCAUCAUCCUGGAGGAUUCCUUUCAAAUAUAGAACUGCAGAGGGGUCUCUGUUCGCUGAUCCAUCAAUACAUUAAGGGCUAUCUCGAGGAAUACUGGUUUCCACUUAUGCUGUCAUAUCUGGAUGGUGAUUCUCUGAAGAAGCCACGCCGUUCAUCCUUGUAUAAAUUCACAACAGAGUUCUUUAGAAUCUGUGAUGGCCAGAUGACAUGGAAAGUUCGUACUAAGCUUAAACAGAGACUGCGUGAAGAGAUAGUGGAAUUGAUUGUUCCAAAAUAUGUGAGCUUCUUAGAGGCGCUGCAGGACAAUCCAAGUUCUUGGUUGAAGAGGAUGUGCCGAGCCAGAUCUGAGAAACUGGUGCGCACUGCUGCGCGACUGGAAGAGGUGAUCAGAGAACUCUUUGAAAGCUAG